CCAACAUCAACUUCUCUUGUCUAACUUUGCUGUAUUUUUUACAUAUACAUACAGAACAGCCUACUUCCGUAAACCGGCAUCUACUUCUCCGGCAGGGCAAACCAUUGGUGAAAUUCUCCAACUAGAAAAUCAAAUUGUUUGUCCAACAUGCUGACAGAUGUGGAAUUAUCACAACAAAGUGUUCCCAUUAACAAUAUACCUACUUAAUCUGCUGACAGUAUUAUGAAAGUAUUAGUUCUUAAAAGGGGAUCAGUAAUACCUUAUAAGACCUCGACGCAUCAUGACACUUUGAGAACUGCACUAUUAGUUGAUGAAGAGGUAAAAUAGAUUUAACUUUUUACCUCAUUAUAAUGUCAUUUUUAUUUACUUUA